CUCUUUUGUUAGGGCGGACGGCGGAGUAACGCUUGGGGGACCUGCCUGGGAAACUGGGAGAAUCCGGGGAACCGGGGUUCUUGGGGAUGGUUGGUCGUUGGGGACGGCUCCGGCACUUUUGGGGGCUUCUGCUACCGAUUACAGAUGCCCGGAGGGCGCAUUUCUGAGGGUCCCGUUUGGAUCCGACUAUCCUUCGCUGGUCAGAGAGGUGAGAGGGUGAUCGGCCACACUGGGACUGACAAACGGGAUAGACUCCUACGGGAGGGGGAGUUAUUGAUCUUCCAAAGUGGACGAAAGGCUGACGUAGCGCCUCCGCGUGAGGGAUGAUUGUUUUCCGAAGUCCUUUUUCUGUUGAUGAAGAAGAACAAGUUAAGUUCCAAUAGGGUGGUAGCUUGCCGGUAAUAACCCCGGGUCACUCCUAACUACGUGCCAGCAUCCGCGGUAAUGCGUAGGUGGUAAGCGUUGUCCGGAAUUAUUGGGCGCACAGAGGUCGUCUGUCAAUUUCUAAAGUCAAACCUCCAGGCUCCCCCCUGUCGAACUGGGUAUGGAC
rnacentral:rRNA from 1 species